rnacentral:rRNA from 1 species
AACUCUGCAAUAGGCGAAAGCCUGACAGGGUUACUCUGAGUGAUUCCCGUUAAGGGAAUCUUUUGGCAUCUCUAAAAACGAUGCAGAAUAAGGGGUGGGCAAGUCUGGUGUCAGCCGCCGCGGUAAUACCAGCACCCCGAGUGGUCGGGACGAUUAUUGGGCCUAAAGCAUCCGUAGCCGGUCUUGCAAGUCUUCCGUUAAAUCCAGCUGCUUAACGGAUGGGCUACGGAAGAUACUACAAGACUAGGAGGCAGGAGAGGCAAGCGGUACUCAGUGGGUAGGGGUAAAAUCCGUUGAUCCAUUGAAGACCACCAGUGGCGAAGGCGGCUUGCCAGAAUGCGCUCGACGGUGAGGGAUGAAAGCUGGGGGAGCAAACCGGAUUAGAUACCCGGGUAGUCCCAGCUGUAAACGAUGCAGACUCGGUGAUGGACUAGCUUCAUGCUAGUCCAGUGCCGCAGGGAAGCCGUUAAGUCUGCCGCCUGGGUAGUACGGUCGCAAGACUGAAACUUAA